rnacentral:misc_RNA from 1 species
UUGAGCCUGAUGGGAUCUCUGCUAGUUAUAACUUGGUCCAGAUUUCGGGUGCCUAGAUUCUGGGGCUUUUGCCUCAUUGGCCUUUAUGUAUUUUUCAUGGUGGUUAGCUUAGUGAUUGCCAAGUUUUCNNNNNNNNNNNNNUCCUCAAAGUCAAAAUUUUGUUCGGUUAUUGCUAAAUUCUUUAUGCCACUAUAUAGGAAACCUUCACAGCUGUAUAUGUUAGGGGUGAUGCAUUAUAUACGCCUUGAUAUCAAGAGCAUAUUGCCAGGAUUAUGGAAUUUUUAU